CCUCCCUCCCACUGGGGCCGCGCUCCCUGGGCACAGCAAAAAACCACCUCUUCACCCUCCUUCAGAUACCACCUCACAACUCACCUUUGCCGGAGGACCCCAAAAAUCAGCACAGAGGUUCAACUGCUGAGGUCAGCGCCCGUCACGGGUACAAACAUUGCUGGGGGUUCCCUUGUCCUGCCCCAUCUGUUUCCACCUGUCAGCUCUUCCCUUAUGCUUCCAUUGCAAGCUCCGUGGGGCAGGGACCCACUUUUCUGAUCUGUGUUUGUACAGCAGCUGGCGUGAUGGGGUCCUGGGCCCCCACUUGGGCACCAAGGUGCUACAGCAAUGAUUCAUAACAAUGCUAACGAGCGGAGGGGGCAGAAAGGAGAAUCCCCUCCCUGGGACGGCCUCUGAUGCUGACGAAUGCCCAUGUCCCAGCUUUGGAUUUUCUCUCCCCUGAUCUCGGCCCAGGAGAACCGAGGAGGCAGGGAAGAGAUUGCAGGGAGUAGUGGGGAGUUCCUGAAAUACAGGGGAUGGGGGAAAAGAAAGUCCUGGGUGGGGAAUGCAGAGAUGCAAGGAGCUCGGCCAACACACGCUACGGAGAAUGCGACCCUCUGGUGAACCUGCCUGUCGUGUGCCCCAGAAAAUCCACCAUGACCCUUGAGAAUUAAACGUUUGCCAGUUUACAGCCCAGGAAACAGAUGACGCGGAGUGGCCUGAAGGUGUCUACUAUGAAGGAAAAAAGGAUGGUGGCGUGGAAGAGGUGAACCUCUCCACGACCCUUGGACGUCUGCAGUGACAGCAGAUCAAGGAGCUGUGCACAAGCUUUGCACCAAUUUUCUCAGCCACUCCAGGAUGGACCGAACGGGCAUACCACUCCAUUGACACAGGUAAUGCUCACCCUAUUAGAACCCCACCCUACCGGGAGUCACCUCAUGCCAAAACUGCUAUACAAAGGGAGAUCCAGGACAUACUACAGAUGGGUAUAAUCCGCCCCUCUAAUAGUGCAUGGGCAUCUCCAGUGGUUCUAGUUCCCAAACCAGAUGGGGAAAUACUCUUUUGCGUGGACUACCGUAAGCUAAAUGCUGUAACUCGUCCUGACAACUAUCCAAUGCCACACACAGAUGAGCUAUUGGAGAAAUUGGGACAUGCCCAAUUCAUCUCUACUUUAGACUUAACCAAGGGGUACUGGCAAGUACCCCUAGAUGAACCCGCUAAGGAAAGGUCAGCCUUCGUCACCCAGGCAGGGGUGUAUGAAUUCAAUGUACUCCCUUUCGGGUUGCGAAAUGCACCCGCCACCUUCCAAAGACUUGUAGAUGGUCUCCUAGCGGGAUUGGGAGAAUCUGCAGUUGCCUACCUCGAUGAUGUGGCCAUUUUUUCUGAUUCAUGGGCAGAGCACAUGGAGCACCUGGAAAAAGUCUUCGAGCGCAUCCGGCAGGCAGGACUAACUGUUAAGGCUAAAAAGUGUCAAAUAGGCCAAAACAGAGUGACUUACCUGGGGCACCAGGUGGGUCGAGGAACUAUAAAUCCCCUAUAAGCCAAAGUGGAUGCUAUCCAAAAGUGGCCGGUUCCAAAGUCUAAGAAACAGGUCCAAUCCUUCUUAGGCUUGGCUGGAUAUUAUAGGCGAUUUGUACCCCACUACAGCCAAAUCACCACCCCGCUGACAGACCUAACCAGAAAGAGCUAGCCAAAUGCAGUUCAAUGGACUGAUGAGUGUCAAAAGGCCUUUAACCAGCUUAAGGUGACACUCAUGUCUGACCCUGUGCUAAGGGCCCCAGACUUUGACAAACCGUUCCAAGUAACCACAGAUGCGUCCGAGCAAGGCGUGGGAGCAGUUUUAAUGCAGGAAGGACCGGAUCAAGAAUUCCAUCCUGUCGUGUUUCUCAGUAAGAAACUGUCUGAGAGGGAAAGCCAUUGGUCAAUCAGCGAAAAGGAAUGCUAUGCCAUUGUGUACGCGCUGGAAAAGCUACGCCCAUAUGUUUGGGGACGGCGUUUCCAACUACAAACAGACCAUGCUGCGCUACAGUGGCUUCAUACCGCCAAGGGAAAUAACAAAAAACUUCUUCAGUGGAGUUUAGCUCUCCAAGAUUUUGAUUUUGAAAUACAACACAUUUCGGAAGCUUCUAACAAAGUGGCUUAUGCACUCUCCCGGGAAAGUUUCCCAGAGUUAACUGGUUAACAAUUGUUCUUGGAAUGAAACAUAUUAUUAGUUUUUAUAUAAUCAGUAGUAUGUCUUAAGGUACAUGUGUCUUAUUAACUCUGUUUUCUCCUAGAACUCCAGGAAGAAAUCACAGCCAGUGUGGAUCCGAACGUUCAACACUCUCUGUGAUUUGGGGGGCGUGUCAUAACUAUAAAGGGAAGGGUAACAGCUGUCCUGUGUACAGUACUAUAAAAUCCCUCCUGGCCAGAGACUCCAAAAUCCUUUUCUCUGUAAAGGGUUAAGAAGUUCAGGUAACCUGGCUGGCAUCUGACCUAAAGGACCAAUAAGGGGACAAGAUACUUUCAAAUCUUGGGGCAGGGAAAGGCUUUUGUUUGUGUUCUUUGUGGAGGGGAAUGCGUUCGUUCUCGGGACUGAGAGGGACCAGACAUCAAUCCAGGUUCUCCACAUCUUUCUAAACAAGUCUCUCCUAUUUCAAACUUGUAAGUAAAUAGCCAGGCAAGGUGUGUUAGUUUUCCUUUGUUUUCUCAACUUGUAAAUGUACCUUUUACUAGAGUGUUUAUCUUUGUUUGCUGUACUUUGAACCUAAGACUAGAGGGGAGUCCUCUGAGUUCUUUAAGUUUGAUUACCCUGUAAGGUUAAUUUCCAUACUGAUUUUACAGAGAUGAUUUUUACCUUUUUCUUUAAUUAAAAGCCUUCUUUUUAAGAACCUGA